AGUUGCGAUCAUACCAGCACUAAUGCACCGGAUCCCAUCAGAACUCCGCAGUUAAGCGUGCUUGGGCGAGAGUAGUACUAGGAUGGGUGACCUCCUGGGAAGUCCUCGUGUUGCACCUC
rfam:Lupinus angustifolius cultivar Tanjil contig_20971, whole genome shotgun sequence.